AAGUCGUAACAAGGUUUCCGUAGGUGAACCUGCGGAAGGAUCAUUACCAAAUCCAAAUACCCAACCCCAUGUGAACUAUUGUUUGUUGUCCUUGGGGGGUAAGGAGGAAAAAAAAGGUAAAGUAAAAUUUACUUUUUUCUACUAACUUCCCCCCAAAAGAAUCCGGCACUCCGGUGCUUGUGAUUCUUGAUAAACCACAGAUUUCUUUUUUUUUGGAAUGACUUUUUAUUAAUAAUUAAUAAAAGACAACUUUUAACGGUGGAUCUCUUGGCUCGUG
rnacentral:misc_RNA from 1 species